rnacentral:rRNA from 1 species
UACGGAGGGUGCGAGCGUUGUCCGGAAUCACUGGGCGUAAAGGGCGCGUAGGCGGCCUGAUAAGUAGGGGGUGAAAUCCUGAGGCUUAACCUCAGGGCUGCCUUCUAAACUGUCAGGCUCGAGCACAGUAGAGGCAGGUGGAAUUCCCGGUGUAGCGGUGGAAUGCGUAGAGAUCGGGAAGAACAUCAGUGGCGAAGGCGGCAUCCUGGACCGACACUGACACUGAGGAGCGAAAGCCAGGGGAGCAAACGGG